GUCCAAUAAGACUGGAACAUCAGACUUAAAAAUUCAUAUUGAAAGGGGGACUAAAUUUUCCAAUCUUAACAGCAGUCUAAAAUGUGUAGAUAUUAGAUCCAAACAUAUAGCGCUGAACUGUGUGGCAUUUUAAAUUCCCUUCAAUCUAAAAGGUAAAGUCCCAUAACUCUGGAAUAAAAAACAAAAGACUACAUUGCUCACC
rnacentral:lncRNA from 1 species